rnacentral:rRNA from 1 species
UGUGUGUUAGUGGAAGCGUCUGGAAAGGCGCGCGAUACAGGGUGACAGCCCCGUACACAAAAAUGCACAUGCUGUGAGCUCGAUGAGUAGGGCGGGACACGUGGUAUCCUGUCUGAAUAUGGGGGGACCAUCCUCCAAGGCUAAAUACUCCUGACUGACCGAUAGUGAACCAGUACCGUGAGGGAAAGGCGAAAAGAACCCCGGCGAGGGGAGUGAAAAAGAACCUGAAACCGUGUACGUACAAGCAGUGGGAGCACAGAGCAAUCUGUGUGACUGCGUACCUUUUGUAUAAUGGGUCAGCGACUUAUAUUCUGUAGCAAGGUUAACCGAAUAGGGGAGCCGAAGGGAAACCGAGUCUUAACCGGGCGUUAAGUUGCAGGGUAUAGACCCGAAACCCGGUGAUCUAGCCAUGGGCAGGUUGAAGGUUGGGUAACACUAACUGGAGGACCGAACCGACUAAUGUUGAAAAAUUAGCGGAUGACUUGUGGCUGGGGGUGAAAGGCCAAUCAAACCGGGAGAUAGCUGGUUCUCCCCGAAAGCUAUUUAGGUAGCGCCUCGUGAAUUCAUCUCCGGGGGUAGAGCACUGUUUCGGCAAGGGGGUCAUCCCGACUUACCAACCCGAUGCAAACUGCGAAUACCGGAGAAUGUUAUCACGGGAGACACACGGCGGGUGCUAACGUCCGUCGUGAAGAGGGAAACAACCCAGACCGCCAGCUAAGGUCCCAAAGUCAUGGUUAAGUGGGAAACGAUGUGGGAAGGCCCAGACAGCCAGGAUGUUGGCUUAGAAGCAGCCAUCAUUUAAAGAAAGCGUAAUAGCUCACUGGUCGAGUCGGCCUGCGCGGAAGAUGUAACGGGGCUAAACCAUGCACCGAAGCUGCGGCAGCGACACUGUGUGUUGUUGGGUAGGGGAGCGU